CUACAAGAACGAACGCUGGCGGCAUGCCUAACACAUGCAAGUCGAACGAGACCUUCGGGUCCAGUGGCGCACGGGUGCGUAACGCGUGGGAACCUGCCUUUAGGUUCGGAAUAACUCAGAGAAAUUUGAGCUAAUACCGGAUAAUGUCUUCGGACCAAAGAUUUAUCGCCUUUAGAUGGGCCCGCGUUGGAUUAGCUAGUUGGUGGGGUAAAGGCCUACCAAGGCGACGAUCCAUAGCUGGUCUGAGAGGAUGAUCAGCCACACUGGGACUGAGACACGGCCCAGACUCCUACGGGAGGCAGCAGUGGGGAAUAUUGGACAAUGGGCGAAAGCCUGAUCCAGCAAUGCCGCGUGAGUGAUGAAGGCCUUAGGGUUGUAAAGCUCUUUUACCCGAGAUGAUAAUGACAGUAUCGGGAGAAUAAGCUCCGGCUAACUCCGUG
rnacentral:rRNA from 1 species